rnacentral:misc_RNA from 1 species
GGCCCCUCUACGAUCGAUGAUCAUAAAAAUGACUAGAAAAUGGUAAGGGGAAUUUUUAAUCCUUACCAACUUGAUCUUGUUGCCCCCGGCAACAAACAUGCAUGAACCAUUUCACGAAGUAUGUGUCCGGAUAGCCCAAAGUCUCGAUAGUUAGCUCUCGGUUUUCCAGUCGAAAAACAACGUCGAUGAAGACGUGUCGGUGCACUAUUCCGCGGUAGGGAUUGUAACUUUCCAUGAAUUUCCCAUUUAUCACUUAACGACGGAACUUUGCUUAUUUCUUUUUUUAAGGAUCGACGCAUCAAAUGAUAUUUUUGUUCCAAUUUUUGCCUCUUCUUCUCCCGCUGAAUCAAACUUUUCCUUGCCAUAAUAUUUAAUUUCCUAUUAGUAUCGCUGAUACAAAUCGGAUCCUAGAUGUAGAAAUAUAAAAAAUCGCCUUAUCCAUCGAAAAAAAAUGAUAUUUUCGCGGAUACAGCAUAAAAAGAAUUAACCAAAUUUACCUGAUGUAGAGGCAAUCAAGAAAGCCGCAUAAGUGAAGAUAUAACCUACGGAAAAGUGAGCUAAUCCAACCAAUCUUGCUUGCACAAUGGAAAGAGCUACUGGUUUAUCUCUCCAUCGAAUCAAAUUAGCCAAAGGUGUACGCUCAUGAGCCCAUGCUAAAGUUUCAAUCAAUUCUUGCCAAUAUCCACGCCAAGAAAUUAAAAACAUAAAUCCAGUAGCCCAAACAAGAUGUCCAAAUAAGAACAUCCACGCCCAGACCGAUAAGCUAUUCAUACCAAAAGGGUUAUAUCCAUUGAUAAGUUGUGAAGAGUUUAACCAUAGAUAAUCUCUUAACCAUCCCA